UACGAAGGGGGCUAGCGUUGCUCGGAAUCACUGGGCGUAAGGCGCACGUAGGCGGAUUGCUAAGUCAGGGGUGAAAUCCUGGAGCUCAACUCCAGAACUGCCUUUGAUACUGGCGAUCUUGAGUCCGGGAGAGGUGAGUGGAACUCCGAGUGUAGAGGUGAAAUUCGUAGAUAUUCGGAAGAACACCAGUGGCGAAGGCGGCUCACUGGCCCGGUACUGACGCUGAGGUGCGAAAGCGUGGGGAGCAAACAGG
rnacentral:rRNA from 1 species